rnacentral:rRNA from 1 species
ACUCCUACGGGAGGCAGCAGUGGGGAAUAUUGCACAAUGGGCGCAAGCCUGAUGCAGCCAUGCCGCGUGUGUGAAGAAGGCCUUCGGGUUGUAAAGCACUUUCAGUCGUGAGGAAGGUGGUAGUGUUAAUAGCACUAUCAUUUGACGUUAGCGACAGAAUAAGCACCGGCUAACUCCGUGCCAGCAGCCGCGGUAAUACGGAGGGUGCGAGCGUUAUCCGGAUUUAUUGGGUUUAAAGGGUCCGUAGGCGGAUUAAUAAGUCAGUGGUGAAAUCCCAUCGCUUAACGAUGGAACUGCCAUUGAUACUGUUAGUCUUGAAUGAGGGUGCAGUGGUUGGAAUGUGUAGUGUAGCGGUGAAAUGCAUAGAUAUUACACAGAACACCGAUUGCGAAGGCAGAUCACUAACCCUAAAUUGACGCUGAGGGACGAAAGCGUGGGGAGCGAACAGGAUUAGAUACCCUGUAGUGUACUG